rnacentral:misc_RNA from 1 species
CUAAGGAAUACGUCUCCUGCGACGGAGACAUACAGGAAGCCUAAGCUUCCAUACACAAACAUCACUCGUUGUCAGUUUUGAAAGGACAAUUCCUUUCGCUUGUUUGGCGACUAUGGCGGAGGGGUUCCACGCGUUCCCAUCUCGAACACGGCCGUUAAGCCCUCCAGCGCCGAUGGUACUUGGACCGCAGGGUCCUGGGAGAGCAGGACGUUGCCAAGCAAGUCUGCGACGCGCAGAUUGCCGCCCCUGGCGGCGAUGCGGGCCCUUAGCUCAGCUGGUUAGAGCGCACCCCUGAUAAGGGUGAGGUCGGUGGUUCGAGUCCACUAGGGCCCACCAUAUAUAUUUUCAUAUCCGAUAUGGGGCCAUAGCUCAGCUGGGAGAGCGCCUGCCUUGCAAGCAGGAGGUCAGGAGUUCGAUCCUCCUUGGCUCCACCAUAACAAUCAUUUCUUGAUUUUGUACCUUGAAAACUGAAUCGCGAAAGUAAAGCUUAGAAUCAUCCUUUAAUUUUAAAUAGGAGUUAAAAAGUUUACUUUUCAGCACCAAGAAGCUUGCUUGAAGCUGAAGAAAGAGGAGCGCAGUGUAGUUGAGACUACAUGAGCACCGGAUUUCGAAGCUGAAGGCAAGAUUCGAUGCCGAAUAACCCCUUGAGAUCCUUCGUGAUCAAAAGGAAACUUUUUAACAACCUAACUA